rnacentral:lncRNA from 10 species
GGUGUGCUUGCAGGCUUUGAAGAACAAGCUGCCAUGAAUCCUGCAGCUACAAGGAAAUGAACUCUAUUAACUUGAGUGAGCUUAAAACUAGAUCCUUCCCCAGUCAAGCCUCCAGGUGAGAAUUCAAUCCUGGCUGGCACCUGGAUUGCAGCUUACAGAAGACCCAGCUAAGGCCAUGUCUGGACUUUAAAUCCACAGGAACUGCAAGAUGGUAUCAGAAGUGGGACCUGCAGUGGGGCAUCUAGCAACCCCCAGGAGCAUUGAGUGACCAGGCUUGGGACCCACCGGGCGCAGGGUGUCCAUUGUUCUCUCGAAGCAACUGAGAAUUGUGGAUAUUCUUCAUUAUUCCAUCAUCAUCUCAAACCUCUUGGGUAUAGUGUUUGACUACUACUGUGACCAUAAAUUCCAAUAAAACCUAGGAAAAAUGAAACCACUACAUUAACUGAAAGGCAGGAAGGCCCUUGCCAGAUGCCAGCAACUUGAUAUUAGAUU